rnacentral:lncRNA from 1 species
GGGUCAAGUUAAUGGAUCCUUUAUAUUUUUUUUUUCUCAUUCUUCUUUCACACGCUUGCAUUUUACUCAUCUACAAACCCUAGAAAAACAAAGCUGCAACUCUCUCUCUCUCUCCUAUCGCCACCGCCAAGUUCCUCCAUCAGUUUCACAAGAACACAAGAUGACGACGUUUCCUUCUGAUUGAAUCAUCUACGAUCCAGAAAAUACAAUCCAUCGGAUAUGUAAACCUAUCAGGUAUUCUAAUCGGGAUUUGAGAGUAAUUAGGGUUUUCUAAAACUUGUGGCUUCUUCUCUUUCCCUUAAUCAGAAACCCUAAAUCAAUCGAUGCCGCCACCACAAUCAUUCGGUUCUUAAUCAACCUCCAAAGCCGCCAUUUCAUUUCUGUGUUGCGAUAAGAAUACCUGCUAGGUUUACGAUAACAAGUUCUCGAGGUUUGCGAUAAUACAAUUGUGAGAUCUAGGGAUUUUCUUGCUGUUUCAAAUGAAAAUGUCAAUGCAGUUGUCGGUAGAUUGAUGAAUCAUAGUCCUUGUGAGGUACUGCAAUGGAGAUGCGGUGAUGGUGAUGGAAGUUUUAAUUGUUCGGCGCGUGCAGUCGAACCAAGAACUGGCAUUGAGUUCCCACAUUUUCAAAGCAAGUAAUUCAAGUUUUAAUACAGAGGAAAUGUAUUUAGAAAUGGUGCAAUAAGAAAGGGGAUAUAACCUCUGAGAUUUGCAUUCAGGUUUGGCCUUUUUUGGUCCAGAAUUUUAAUAAUUUGGUGAAUUUUUUUAUUGAAAUGCUAUUGAAUUUGACAUGUUUCAUAUAUUUAUUCACCGGAUUACGCUCUUUCACCCGCUAGAACCAAUCCAGAUGUCAUGACUAUUGAUAUCAGGCAUGCAUGGGGCCUGCAAAUUGAUCUCUGGGAUGCUCACUUCUUGGCUUUUGCUUCUGAGAAUCAGUUUCUUGAACCGGAUUAUGAUGAUUACGGUGUAUGAAGUAAUAACAGCAUUUGCGUACCUCCGGUUUAUGGUUGGCUUUCUUUGUUUGCUGCUCACAAGAGACCUCGGGAUGCUGCCAGAAGGUUCGUAAGGUAAAGAUAUCGAUACUGAUUUGGCCUUUUUCAUGCCCUAAUUUUGCUUCAAUUGAUAACUUAUAGAAAUUCAUUUAUGUUUUUGUUUGAUUUCAUUUUGUUUCACUGAAUUUGAUGAAGCUAGAGGUAUGACUUGAGAAGGAUUUACAUGAAUGAGUGAAUGUGAAUUGGUGAUUCUUUUAGUUAUUUGGUUUGGUGAUAGUGUGAUGGAAAAGAAUUUGUGUUUUUCGACUCUGGCACACCUUGUGACCGUGUUUAGCGUAGUCUCUGUGGCUUCUUCGACUGAUAUUUGGUAAAGCAAAGUACCAAGGUCAUGUUGAAUGAAUAUGGUGGCUACCGAGUUUCUCUGAUUUCUUUCUCUGAUGUGUAUGGUUGUAAAUCAUUCAUAUCAUUUCUCCUUUCUGGUAAUUAUAAUUACAACGAUGCUGCUAAUGAAAUCAUACCACUAUUACUUAGAUUAUCUUUUUAUGAUCUGUGAUUUUUUUUUCAGUUUUAACCGAGCUUAAGUAUUAUUUGAAUUUAUCAUUAUCAUCUUCAGUUCAUUUUUAUGUUGUCAUAGUCCAAGAAUAGAGGCUUGUCAUUGGAAGAGAACCCGGAGAAGAUGUUUCAAAUAUUUUAUGACUCUCAAGAUUUCUACCUUGUGAGUAUAAUAUAUCAUUUACAGUUCAUACUUAAGAUACAUUAUUAGAUCAUGAGUAUUUCCACUGUUUGGUUUAUAGUUUAUUACAACUAUCGGUAUCCCUUUAGGCAUUACCUGUCGCACCAGGUGUAGUAGUAGAGUUACGUUCACCAUCCCAUCUCACAAAUAUCCUAGCACAAGCAUUAAUUUAUGAAAGAAGGUGAAUAAGUUUAUUAUCAAACAACUGGCUAAUAAACAGCUACUGCACUCUCAAAUGCAUUCGUAGUAUCUUUAAAUUACAAAUAUUAGUCUUAGCAUCAGCGGGAAGCAGAGUUAGUCCUUUUCUAUUAUAUUGCACUGUUCAGUUUGUCUCAAUUUAGCGCUAUUAUGUUUGAAACUUAUGUAAUGCAUACAUUUUGUAUACAAAUGUCAGCUCAAGGAACUUGAAAAGUUGUGCCCCAGAAAAGGCGUCAUCGGUCAAUCUUUUAAAGACGUUGUUCAAAGUCUGGUGGAUGAUGACCUGGUCUCGAAAGACAAAAUUGGAACCUCGGUAUACUUUGGAGUCUUUCCCAGUUAGGGCAACUGUUUGUGAAAUUUGCAUUGAUAUAGAAGCCAAUUGGAAGCAAUGCUCCUGCUGGAAACGACUCUGCCCUACGUAAAGCAGAGGAUGUUGUAACCAGCAUGUUCGCAAAGGGUUUCGUGUAGACGCGGCUAGGUUUCUUCCAAUUAGAGCAAUGACGUUUAAUGAGCUGUCAAGGGGCCGAGUAUCAGCUUCGUUAAAGCUCUUCAGGUAAGAUUUGUUUGUUCGGAACCUAGAGUGAUGAUUAGUUCUAUAACUGAAUUAUAAUUGUGAAACUAAAGAGGGAAACGGGAGUAACGAGUCGUUUCCUGAACAAGUUGAGGAACGCGUUGAAGAAAGCAACGAUCUUGAUGCUUUUAAGAUGUUUAAGAUUUCAAAGGCAGAUGUUUUCAAGUAUCCAGACACAGUAUGUAAUUAUUCAAUCAAAUAAGAUUGAUAAAUUGAUGAAAAAGGAAGUCAAUCAUUUACGUGUAAUCAUUAAAGCUCUAUGUUAAGCAUAAAUAGUGUAUGAUGAUAUGAUUCGAGUUAUUAAAGAUUGCAGGUUUUUUCAUCACUACUUUGGUGGGGUGGUAGAGGUUUUGUGCCUCUUGGGGAGAAAUCACGGUUCAAUUCCUGGUAUGGGGUAAAACGUGGUGUAAUUUAGAAGUAGUGUUAUGUAACCUUUGCCGUUCAAAAAAAAGGAUUGCAAGUUUUAUACAUUUUAUUUGUAUUCAUUAGAGUUCUAUGUAAUAUUAAUGGAAGUAUUUCACCUGAAACAAUGGGAUUUUAUAUUUUCAUGAGAGUUCUAUGUAAUAUUCAUGGUAGUAUUUCAUUUGAAAACACCUCAGUAAAAAGUAAAAACUAUGAGAUUUAAAUAUGUUAUACUAAAACUAUGGUGUGCAAAUUCCAGUCAUGUAACAUCCAACUUUAUCUAAUAUAU